ACUCCUACGGGAGGCAGCAGUAAGGAAUAUUGGUCAAUGGGCGCAAGCCUGAACCAGCCAUGCCGCGUGCAGGAAGACGGCCCUCCGGGUUGUAAACUGCUUUUGUACGGGAAUAAACCUCGCUACGUGUAGCGAGCUGAAUGUACCGUAAGAAUAAGGAUCGGCUAACUCCGUGCCAGCAGCCGCGGUAAUACGGAGGAUCCAAGCGUUAUCCGGAUUUAUUGGGUUUAAAGGGUGCGUAGGCGGCCUGUUAAGUCAGGGGUGAAAGACGGUGGCUCAACCAUCGCAGUGCCCUUGAUACUGAUGGGCUUGAAUGGACUAGAGGUAGGCGGAAUGUGACAAGUAGCGGUGAAAUGCAUAGAUAUGUCACAGAACACCGAUUGCGAAGGCAGCUUACUAUGGUUUUAUUGACGCUGAGGCACGAAAGCGUGGGGAUCGAACA
rnacentral:rRNA from 1 species